GAGUGGCGGACGGGUGAGUAACGCGUGGGUAACCUGCCUUAUACAGGGGGAUAACAGUUAGAAAUGACUGCUAAUACCGCAUAAGCGCACAGGAUUGCAUGAUCUGGUGUGAAAAACUCCGGUGGUAUAAGAUGGACCCGCGUCUGAUUAGCUGGUUGGUGAGGUAACGGCCUACCAAGUCGACGAUCAGUAGCCGGACUGAAGAGGUUGAACGGCCACAUUGGGACUGAGACACGGCCCAGACUCCUACGGGAGGCAGCAGUGGGGAAUAUUGCACAAUGGGCGCAAGCCUGAUGCAGCAACGCCGCGUGGAGGAAGACGGUUUUCGGAUUGUAAACUCCUGUUCUUAGUGAAGAAUAAUGACGGUAGCUAAGGAGCAAGCCACGGCUAACUACGUG
rnacentral:rRNA from 1 species